rnacentral:rRNA from 1 species
AGUGAACGCUGGCGGUAGGCCUAACACAUGCAAGUCGAACGGCAGCACAGUAAGAGCUUGCUCUUACGGGUGGCGAGUGGCGGACGGGUGAGGAAUACAUCGGAAUCUACUUUUUCGUGGGGGAUAACGUAGGGAAACCUACGCUAAUACCGCAUACGACCUACGGGUGAAAGCAGGGGAUCUUCGGACCUUGCGCGAUUGAAUGAGCCGAUGUCGGAUUAGCUAGUUGGCGGGGUAAAGGCCCACCAAGGCGACGAUCCGUAGCUGGUCUGAGAGGAUGAUCAGCCACACUGGAGCUGAGACACGGUCCAGACUCCUACGGGAGGCAGCAGUGGGGAAUAUUGGACAAUGGGCGCAAGCCUGAUCCAGCCAUACCGCGUGGGUGAAGAAGGCCUUCGGGUUGUAAAGCCCUUUUGUUGGGAAAGAAAAGCAGCAGGUUAAUACCCCGCUGUUCUGACGGUACCCAAAGAAUAAGCACCGGCUAACUUCGUG